UGGUGGAGUGAUUUGUCUGGUUGAUUCCGAUAACGAACGAGACGGGGAGAGUUUACUAGCUUGUUUGCUAACUCACGUUAACAAGAGCUUCUUUACUCGACAACUUGGUUCUACCAAGGGGAAGCGCCCCGCAAUAACA
rnacentral:rRNA from 1 species